AGCGUCGUGCUUAUACUCUGCCGUCGGGACAGUAGUGAUAUCUUUACUACUCUCCGGAGUGUAAAAUAUCGUCAGGUCUCGACGAGUAGGUGGGCCGCGGCGGUGAGCUCAUAAGGACUGCAAGUAGGCCCGUCUGGAGCCGCCGUCGGUGCAGAUCUUGGUGGUAGUAGCAAAUACUCCAGCGAGGCCCUGGAGGACUGACGUGGAGAAGGGUUUCGUGUGAACAGCCGUUGCACACGAGUCAGUCGAUCCUAAGCCCUAGGAGAAAUCCGAUGUUAAUGCAGUUGUGUCUUUAUUAUAUGAUGACAUUUGGUGUGAGAGUUUCAAACAGUUGACGUUCAUACUGGACUACGGAUAAGUAAUAAUGAUGCUGGCUGAUCUAUCAAUACUGUCGCUAUCCCAAAUUUGAACGUUCCCAAGUGUAGUACACUAUUUCUGCUGUUCACACAGUAGUUGUAGACUCUUACUUGUUCAAUGUCUGGUGAGCGAUUUACAUGAUAGUUGAAACACAUUUUUAUUAUGUAGAAAAGUGUCUUCUGUCUCUAUCCACUAAUAAAUCGUUGUUAGAGAAGUAUCACACUCAUUGGGCGAAAGGGAAUCCGGUUCCUAUUCCGGAACCCGGCAGCGGAACCGUUUACAAGUCGGGCCCUCGUAAGAGAGUUCGUCGGGGCAACCCAACAGGACCUGGAGACGCCGUCGGGAGAUCCGGGAAGAGUUUUCUUUUCUGUAUGAGCGUUCGAGUUCCCUGGAAUCCUCUAGCAGGGAGAUAGGGUUUGGAACGCGAAGAGCACCGCAGUUGCGGCGGUGUCUGGAUCGUCCCCUCGGACCUUGAAAAUCCAGGAGAGGGCCACGUGGAGGUGUCGCGCC
rnacentral:rRNA from 1 species